rnacentral:rRNA from 1 species
CCCUUAGAUGUUCUGGGCCGCACGCGCGCUACACUGAUGCAUUCAACGAGCCUAUCCUUGACCGACAGGUCCGGGUAAUCUUUGAAUCUGCAUCGUGACGGGGAUAGAUUAUUGCAAUUAUUAAUCUUCAACGAGGAAUGCCUAGUAGGCCCAAGUCAUCAGCUUGCGUCGAUUACGUCCCUGCCCUUUGUACACACCGCCCGUCGCUCCUACCGAUUGGGUGUGCUGGUGAAAUGUUCGGAUCGGCCGUUUGUCGCGGUUUCCGCGUCAUGUGGCUGAGAAGUUCAUUAAACCCUCCCACCUAGAGGAAGGAGAAGUCGUAACA